UGGGGAAUAUUGCACAAUGGGCGCAAGCCUGAUGCAGCCAUGCCGCGUGUAUGAAGAAGGCCUUCGGGUUGUAAAGUACUUUCAGCGGGGAGGAAGGGAGUAAAGUUAAUACCUUUGCUCAUUGACGUUACCCGCAGAAGAAGCACCGGCUAACUCCGUGCCAGCAGCCGCGGUAUUACGGAGGGUGCAAGCGUUAAUCGGAAUUACUGGGCGUAAAGCGCACGCAGGCGGUUUGUUAAGUCAGAUGUGAAAUCCCCGGGCUCAACCUGGGAACUGCAUCUGAUACUGGCAAGCUUGAGUCUCGUAGAGGGGGGUAGAAGUCCAGGUGGAGCGGUGAAAUGAGUAGAGAGCUGGGGGAAUACUGGUGGCGAAGGCGGCCCCCUGGACGAAGACUGACGCUCAGGUGCGAAAGCGUGGGGAGCAAACAGG
rnacentral:rRNA from 1 species